UCCCCAGUAACUCAGUGGUAGAGUAGGUGACUGUUAAUCACUUUGUCGGAGGUUCGAAUCCUUCCUGGGGAGCCA
rnacentral:tRNA from 1 species